rnacentral:lncRNA from 1 species
AAUAAUGAAGUCACAUAUUAUAUUGAGUAAAAAAAGUCACAUCAUAACUUCAUAAUAAAAAGAUACAAUUUUUUUCAAGAAAAUAUAAAAAACAUCCAUAAUCUAUAUCUUUCUUCUAUAGACUAUAGAUUAUAAUCCAUAUUUUAAUUUAUCAAUCACACUUUGUUACAACUUUUGAACCUAUUUGUUUCUCCAUGAUGGUAGAAUUGUUGAGAGUCAUUGAAGUAAUAUCAUUGCAUAUAUUAAAGAUAGGACUCUCUAAAACAUCACCUUCAAUCUUUGAUUUAGUAGUGUUUUCUUUGAGACUUUCUCUAAAACAUUUUCCACAAAUAUUCUUGAUACCAACAGCAUCAUAUGAACCACAUCCAUUAUUUGAACAAAUAGGUGGAACCAUAUUUUUUUCACUUAAUUUUGAUCUCAAGAAAAGUAGAAAGAUUUAUGAAAGAAAAGUUGCUAGUUUGUGAAAUUGUUGGAUGAUAAUUGAAUAGGCUGUGUUAAUUUAUAGGGAUACUAGCAAGAUG